CAAAUGUAUAGUUUUGUAGACAUUGGUCUCAUACAAAUUGCAUUUUAUUAAACUUGGGCAAAUUAUAUUUCAGCAAAAGGCUUUGCCAUCCAAUACAUGUAUUUCAUCUCGGAAGAAAAAGAACAACAGUCCUGAUGAUGGUGACAGGUCAAAUUAAUCUAACAGGUAACACAUACAUGACAUAUUGUUUUAAGGCUUUUCCAUUUAAACAUACAUGCAUGCAUAUUGGGACCAGGGAAGACACUUAGAGAUCCAAAGUUACAAUGUGGGGUGGGGUUAAUUGCAAUAAAAAUGUUAGUGAAAUUUUCAAUUGGCUUCUAUCAGUUGAUUAUUGAUUGACUUUAUUAACUUAAUAUUUCUGUAACAAUUGUACAUGUAAUAACAAUUAGCCACUCCAUGAUAACCAUUACCAAAAAUGUUGUAUAGUCUGAUUAUAACCACAGAAUUUACUUUGCUUUUCAGAUACUAGUGAAGAAAUCAAGAAACAAGAGUAGACACCAUUUGACCAACUGUGCUUACAAUACUUGUGCAAUAGUUGUAAUUGAUGUCCAUAUUACAUUGUAGUAUCAUAUGAUAAUACAUUACAGCAUCCACAGAAUUAUCAUCUUGGUCGUCAAUGCCUCUCAUUUCUUAAUAAAUUGCAUUUGUUAUUUUGGUUGUAUGAUUUUCUAAAAAGACUUUUUUGUUAUUAUAGGAGUAGAAUGUUGAAAAAAACAAAUGACAAAGAUCAUUGUUGAAUGAAGUGCAAGUACUUUUUUAAAGUUUUAAAUAGAAAAUUAGUAUGGUGUUUGAGCGAUUUAAAAUAGAUAUUUCUUAUUUGUUUCCAGUACAUUAAUAAGCACUUUAUCACACAAUCAGUGGCAGAUCCAGAAAUUUUCAUAAGUUGGGGCCCACUGACUGCCUAAGAGGGGUCCGGCCCACUCCAGUCAUGCUUCAGUGAUUCCCUAUAUAAUCAACCAAAUUUUUUUUCCAGAAAAGGGGAGGCCUGGCCUGGCCCCCCUCUAAAUCCGCCUAUG
rnacentral:lncRNA from 1 species